rnacentral:rRNA from 1 species
UACGGGGGGGGCAAGCGUUGUUCGGAAUUACUGGGCGUAAAGGGCUCGUAGGCGGCCAACUAAGUCAUACGUGAAAUCCCUCGGCUUAACCGGGGAACUGCGUCUGAUACUGGAUGGCUUGAGAUUGGGAGAGGGAUGCGGAAUUCCAGGUGUAGCGGUGAAAUGCGUAGAUAUCUGGAGGAACACCGGUGGCGAAGGCGGCGCUCUGGACCGAGACUGACGCUGAGGCGCGAAAGCGUGGGGAGCAAACAGG